AAGAGCUGGGAAUGGGAGACUGAAGCAAUCAGAAUUUGUGGGAAUGGGCUGAUUGGGAAGCAAUGAAAACUCAAGCAAUUGUGUCUACAUUUUCUUCCCAAUUCCGCCCAUUCCUAUGAUUUCUGAUGAUUCUUCCCUUUCCUCUUAUUU
rnacentral:pre_miRNA from 1 species